UACCCGCAAACCCAUUUUUGUUAUUCAAGUGUUUAUGGAGGGAAUACCGCGCCCAAUACCCAGAACUGUAGAGGAAGUCUUCGGCGACUUCAAGGGCAGACGAACUGGCUUGAUCAAGGCCUUAACUACUGGUUUAAUCUUUGCUUGUUUAUAUAAUUUAUGGGUUCUUUUUUAAUUUUAAUUUUCUUGCUGAUGUUCGAGAAGUUUUACAAGCAGUGGUGCACAUUUCUUUCUCUUUCUGUCAAUCUGUCUCCUUUUAGUUUUACACAAACAAAUCUCAACCCAAAAUUGUGUCAUACUUUCUCUUUACCAUCUUUUCUCUUCCGGGUUCCUUUCAAAAUUGUGUUUUUUUAAGCCAAUUUUGUCAAUUCAAACAGAAAUCCUAAUUCCCAAAUUAAGAGACCCUUUCUUUUCAUUUGACUCUUCUUCUUCUUCUUCUUGUUCUCUUCAAUACCCGCAAACCCAUUUUUUUUAUACAAGUGUUUAUGGAGGGAACAUCGCACCCAAUACCUAAAAUUGUACAGGAAGUCUUCGGCGACUUCAAGGGCAGACGAGGUGGCUUGAUCAAGGCUUUAACUACUGAUGUUGAGAAGUUUUACCAGCAGUCCGAUCCUUGUGGGUUUAUUUUUGUUUUUAAUUUAAUCUUUUUUCUUGUUCUUGUAAUUUAGGGUCUUAUGUUGACUGAAAAAUUAAUUGUUAUGAUGUUUUGUUUGUGUUGAGUUGACUC